rnacentral:lncRNA from 1 species
AGAAACUACAGGGUGGCCAGCAAAAGCCGUGAAUGCAAGGAGGAUGUGACUAAGCCUGAAAGGAUCACAGUGCCAGCCACCCUGAGGUAGGAGUGAGUCAGCAGAAGCAGGCCGCUGAGUUUCCAACAGCAAUCAUCUUGCACUUGCACAACAGGGAAACAGGAGUGUCAUCAAAAGUAAAUUCCAGCCGAGACAUUCUCUCCUAUAUGAGAAGCAAAAGCCUGGUGGGCCAGUUCCAGAUAUUUAUGGGAUGUUGCAAAAUUAUCUCAGAAGAGACCUUAAAGAACAUCUAGAUCGGCUGUAUUCAAACUGGUUUUGGCCACAGAACUCUUUCAUGAAGUGAAGUUUCACACAGAAGCCUAACAUAUAAAACAAAUACAGGUAUGGCUGCCUUGGUUGGGAGUGGUGGGCCCUCCACCCUCCUUUCUCCCUCAGUUCUGUACCCCGGGGACUUAGAUGACUUGCCUGAACUCAUACAGCUUGCUGGUUAUGAAGUCAUCCCCAGGACUUACAGUCUCCUGACUAUUGACUCCAUCUUCUUAUAUCUAUAGAUAGAGCCUUCUCCAGUAGUUAUCACUUCAUCAUGGAAACUUACCCUCAUUUUUCUUCCACUCAACCCUGUUGGUUCACCACCAUGUCAACAAUAAUAAGCUGACUAUAUGUAACAUCCAUCCAUCUCAAAGCCUUAUAUAUGUGUGGUCUCUUCCCCAGCAGCACAUUAGAAUUCUGUGGGAAGCUUUUAUAAACAUAACAAUGCUCAGGCCCUAUUUCUAGAGAUUCUGAUUUGUUAAGCUGUGGUGUCAGGGUCCAAGCAUCAGUAGGUUUUAAAAGCCGAAAGGGUUCUAGGAAGCAGCAAGGGCUGAGAACCCCUGUUUUGGCAGAGUUCUAGCAAGCAUUAGUAUUCCCAGAAAGAAGAAAAGAUUGCUUACUUCCAACCCCAGGCAGCAGCUUAUACUCUCAGCAAUUCCAUCUCAACCCUGUGGUCACUGAUCGUGAAUUUAGAGGUAAAUGAAAAGUAAGCUUCUUGUAUUGAAGAAGGAUUGGAGUCUGAUUUUAUGACAUGGAAAUUGGGACUAAAUUGAUCCCAAUUAUGUUGUUUUUAAGACAUUUUAUUUAUUGGAAAUAAUCUGAGUAAUAAAACUCUAGUGAGAGGCCAAUAUCCAUGCUUACAAUGUGUGAUUGGAGAUAAAGAGUCCUAUUUCUCCAGAUUCAUCCAUUGAUAUCCCGUCAUACACUUUAAGUGAUUACUGUGUGUGUGUAUAUUGCUUGUACAAAAAUAAAUGUAGUUCUUAAAAUUGAAGUUUUUUGGGGGAAAGUAUACAUUUUAACUAGGGGUGGUCAUAUUUUUAAUAUUUCUAAAAUGGCUCCGUAGAAUUAAGUUACAGAGUAGAUUUUUAGUAGGAUUUCUGGGCAUCAUUUAAAGAGAGUAGUAUUUCUAAAAAUAUAAAUUUUCCCCUUAUAAAUAAAUAUUGUGAAGGUUUAAAUAUGAAACUAUUACAUGACAUUUCUAUAAUUUGUUACUUAAUGUUUUAAAUAAAUGAGCAGUAAGUUCUAUUUUUUUGUUUACAUUUUCUUUUUACCAGCAAUAGUUAUGAAAUCUAUGCAUUCUUAAUUUUAUGUUAACCAUCCCAUUGUGUUUGAAAAGUGCCUUACUACCUGUUAGCUUCUUCAAGUGUGGUCCACUCUUGAUUCUUUAUUUCAGGCGUUUAAACAGCCAUUGUCCUUAGAGUAGUAGAUGUUUUGCAGUGUAAUCAAUGGAAGUUUGCAUUUUCUUCUGGAUAUCAAACCUGAUAGAACCAAAGUUGAACUUUUACUUUUUAAGGAUUUUUUUUUUCUUACUCAAAGUCCAAUACAAGUUAGAGCUCCAGAAGAGAAAACUAAUUAUAAAUUAAUUAGGAAAGGAUUUUUUCUCUAUUUCUGUUGUAAAAGUGUAACAUGUUUAUUUGUCUUAGAAUGCCAUGUGUUAAUGUCUGUCAUGAGGAAAUGAAAUAGUUUUUCUUUUGGGCUUCUUGGUAAAAGAUAAUUCCUCUCAAUACAGGCAGAAACAAACUAAUUAAGAAUAUAUAAAUGGCUCUUCACUGUAAGAAAAACAGAUUUGUGAUAAUAUGUUCAGUUCUAUGGCAGACAAAAUUCCAAAGGGCAGGGACUUCCUCACCGUAUGGGGGAAUAAGCACUUUUUCCUUGUGAUUAUAUCAGAUUACCAAAUGCUGGUAGAAAGAUUAACAUAAAAGGCUAGUGAUGACAAUUUGAGUAUGAGAUUGCUACUGUGGCCCAGAGGGCAGCCCCGUCAACACCCUGCCAAUUCACAUUGUUGUUUGGACUUUACUUCUCUUCGCUGAAGUUGGACUUGGGGCUUUUAGGUUUUCAAGUCUUCUUUCAGUCUUCUUGUUUCCUCUCUCCUGUUUCUUGAGUUAUUUGAGCUGCUCGUGGGUGUUUUUAGGGAAAUGAUUUAUAAACUUUAAGAGGUAUUUCCAGAGCAGCUUAGCUGUUUAGAGGAACUAUCUAAAAAUGCACACUUUUACUUUAAUUCUUGUUUAACAUGUAUUGAUAUUUUAUCUCUAGGUGGGACUUUGGAGAUACAUUUACUGAAAGGGGAGCACAACUGGAGCAGGUACAAAUGAAAAAACUUGGUAUUAUUUUGUUUUUGAACAACAGAGAAUUCCCUUUCAUGAAUCAGAUUUGGGUUAUGAAUCAAAAUCUGUAUCAGAUUUGGGUUACAAAGUAUCAUUUCUGUACAUUCUAUAUAAAGAGAAUAAAAUGAGAAUGAAGAUGCUUACCUUGCAGUGCUUCAGGGAGGAUUGGAAAUAAUUCAGUAAUGCCUGCAUAGAGCAGAAACACUGACAGCUGUCACUGUUGUUGUUGUUGUUACAACUUUUGUUUUCUCCUCCAGACUGUCCAUCCCUCCACUCCCAACCCUAGAUUACUUGUAACCUGUGCACUCUGACUUUGACUCGGCUCCUUAAUGUAGUCAGACCAUAUUUCUUCCUGAAACUUCCUCUAAUAUCUAGCUCUUCUUGGAGCCUUAGUGGUCUUGGAUCUGAAAACUGUCCUGUCAUCAUUAGUGGCUCAGGGCAUUAGAUUUUAAUUAGAACAAUAGCCUCUGCAAAAAUGUACAGUGAUUGGGCCCAGUUUGCUAAUGUGCCUUCAUCAGCAACACCAAAGUGACCUGCAAGGGAAAGUUGAAACAAAAAACAAACAUCUAGUAAAUAUAAUUUAUCAUUCCUUAUCUAGUCUAUUCCUUUGUUGGAAUAAGGCGUUUGUCAUCAUCAUCAUUAUAUUUGUAUGUUUGGAAUGCUGUCACAAAAUAGUAUAAACUGGGUGGCUUAAGCAACAUUAAUUUAUUUUCUCAUGGUUCCAAAGUGGCUUAAGCAACAUUAAUUUAUUUCCUCAUGGCACCUAAAGCAAGGUGCCAGCUGAUUUGGUUUCUCCUGUCCUGGCUUGCAGAUGACCACUUUCUUACUAUGUCCUCACGUUGCCUAUCCUCAGUGUGUGCAUGUGGAAGGAGAGAGAGCAGAAGCUCUCUGGUGUCUCUUCUUAUAAGGCCACCAAUCUUAUUAGAGCCAGGGUCCCACCCUUAUGAGCUUAUUUAACCCUAAUCACUUCCUUAGAGGCCCCAUCUGUAAAUACAGUUAUACUUGGGGUUAGGGCUUCAAAAUGUUGAUUUUGGGGAGACAUACACAUCCAGUCCAAAAUGAUCAUAUUUAUCAUCAUUAUCAUUUAUUUGAUGACUUUUAUCAUUCAGAAGAAUGGAAAAGGAUAAAAUAGAUUGCAUUUUAGGUUGUAUUGAAGAUCUGCUAGAUGCUAACUGCUGUGGCAAACUCGUACGUACAUUAUUUUGUUUAAUUCUUACAUCAUUUUAUUCUCACAACCCUAUGAAGUAGGUAUUAUUUUCCCGAUUUGGUAGAUAGAAAAGCAAGACUCAGGUAAAUUAAGUAAUUUGGUUAUUAUACAUUGUGCAAGUAUGUAUAAGGGCUGAGAUGAGAAUAUAUCUUCUGUCAUUCAGCCUGUACUCUAAACCACCACAUCACAGAAUUAUUAUGAAGACACUUAAGAGGGGUGGGAUGACUUUGAUUCAUCUGGGGUGGAGACCUUAUAUAUUUAUAGCUGUUUGACUUUAUUCUCCAAUGUAAGGUUCGUAGUUGACUCCCAGUUGGCUUAAAUCACCUCUCCAGUCCAGCCUCUGAGGGGAAUUACCUGUAUAGCAUUUUACCAAGACUCCCAAGGUAGGGAAAACUUCCAGGAUAGCUGGGAAUCUCUGCCAAGAUAUUAAUUGAACCUCUCCAAGGCAGCCACAAAACCACCUCCACUUUUUUCUUCCUCUCAGUUUUAUAUCAAUCCAAAAUCUCAGCGGUAGAUUUUAUUGGAUGUAGAAACUGACUUUUUGAUUCCCUCCACCAAAGCAAAUUGGGAAACUCAGAUGUAGGUCACACACUAAAAAAAUACUAGGGAAAGCUCUGAUUGCUAUGAAGAGAGAAAUUAGGGAAGGAGGAGGAGACUCAGUUGGCACAAGGUUAAUGUAAUUACAUUGAUAAUGGUCAACUUCAUGUUCCUGAAUUGUCAAAUAGCUUGUUUAUUAGAUUUAAAAAACAACAUAUUUUUAACUUUAUUCUUUGCUUAAUAAUUUGAUGUACUAUUUUUGAGUAGAUGAAAAGGAGAAAGGAAUGAGAACACAAAGUAUUGCUAUUAGAAAUAAUCCUAGCCAGAAAUCCACAAAGGUUUAGACACAGAAGAAUUUGUCAUCAUAAUGUUAUUUCCACAGGGCCCCUAGUCUCCACUUGGUUUCUCAUUUUUGAUUUGUGCUACCUUAAUUUUUUUUGUGGAUUCACCACUUGAGAUUUUUUGCUUUCUUUUCUGUUUCACAUCCUCCCAUAGUUUCUACAGAAGGUUCUGCUGCCUGUGUAGAAUUUAGCAUACCCUGCCACAAUGGUUUGCAUAGCAAGAGAGCUAUAUUAGCACAGCCUUUCUGGUGAGUGCUGACCAUCAUCUUCCUUGAAAAUAGGCUUAGCUGUGAAUAAACAUAACAGGCACACUUUGUUUUAUUGUGCUUCACUUUAUUGCACUUCACAGAUAUUGUGCUUUUUACAAAUUGCAAGUUUGUGGCAACCUUGCAUCCAGUAAAUUUAUCAGAACCAUUUUCCCAACAGCAUGUGCUCACUGGGUAUCUCUAUCGCAUUUUGUUAAUUCUCACAGUAUUUCAUACUUUAUUUUUAUUAUUAUUAUAUCUGCUAUGGUGAUCUGUAAUCUUUGAUGUUACUAUUGCAGUUGUUUUGGGUGCCAUGAACCAUACCCAUAUAAGACAGGGGACUUAAUUGACAAAUGUGUGUGUUCUCACUACGCCACUGACCACCUGUUUCCCUGUCUUCUUCCUCUCCUUGGGCCUCCCUAUUCUUUGACACACAAGGAUAUUGAAAUUGGGCCAGUUACUAACCCAACAGUGGCCUCUUAAGUGUUCAAGUAGAAGAAAAAGUCACACAUCUGUCACUUUAACUCAAAAGGUAGAAAUGAUUAAGCUUAAUGAGGAAGGCAUCUCUAACACUAAGAUGGGCUGAAAGCUGGGCCUCUUGUACCAAAUAAUCAAGCUUUUAGUAUAAAGAAAAAGUUCUUGAAGUAAAUUAAAAUUGCUACUCCGGUGAACACACAAAUGAUAAGAAAGCAAAACAGCUUUAUUGUGAUAUGUAGAAAGUUUUAGGGGUUAAACUGUUCUUGUAAAAUUUCAUUUAAUAAAGGAUUAUAUUUAUUUGACAAAAAAAAGAGAAAGUUUUAGGGGUCUGGAUGGAAGAUCAGACCAACCAGCCAUAACUUUCCCUUACGCCAAAGCCUAAUCCAGAACAAGGCCCUAACUCUCUUCAAUUCUGUCAAGUCUUAGAGGUAAGGAAGCUGCAGGAGAAAAGUUUGAAGCUAGCAGAGGUUGCUUCAUGAGAAGGAGCCUAAUGUAAAAGUGCAUGGUGAAGCAGCAGGUGCUUGUGUAGAAGCUGCAAUAAGUUAUCUAGAAGAUAUAGCUAAGAUAAUUUAUGAAGGUGGCUGCACUAAACAGCAGAUUUUCAGUGUAGACAAAACAGCCUUCUAUUGGAAGAGGAUGCCAUCUAGGAAUUUCAUAGCUAGAGAGGAGAAGUCAAUACGUGGUUUCAAAGUUUCAAAGGACAAGGUGAUUCUUUUGUUAGGGGCUAAUACAGCCAGUAACUUUAAGUUGAAGCCAGUGCUCAUUUACCAUUCUAGAAAUCCUAGGGCCCUUAAAUAUUAUGCUAAGUUGACUCUGCCUGUGCUCUAUCAAUGGAACAACAAUGUGUCUGGAUGACAGCACAUCUGUUUACAGCAUCAUUUACUGAGUAUUUUAAGCCCACUGUUGAGAGCUGCUCAGAAAAAAAGAUUUCUUUUAAAAUACUACUGCUCAUUGAUAAUGUACCUGAUCACCCAAGAGCUCCGAUGGAGAUGUACUAGGAGAUGAAUGUUGUUUUCCUGGCUGCCAACACAACACCGUUGCUGUAGCCCAUGGAUCAAUGUUUAAUUUUGACUUUCAAGUGUUGCUAUUUAAGAACUACAUUUUAUAAGGCUAUAGAUGCCAUAGAUAGUGACUUCUCUGGUGGAUCUGGGUUGCAUAAAUAGAAAGUCGUCUGGAAAUGACUUAUCAUUCUAGAUGUCAUUAAGAACAUUUAUGAUUCAUGGGGGAGGGUCAAAAUAUCAACAUUAACAGGAGUUUGGAAAAAGUUUAUUCCAGCCCUUAUGGAUGACUUUGAGUCGUUCAAGACUUCAGUGGAAUAAGUAACUGCAGAUGUGGUGUGAACAGCAAAAUUUGAAUUAGAAGUGGAGCCUGAAGAUGUGACUGAAUUGCUGCAGUCGUAUAAUAAAACUUUAAUAGAUAAGGAGUUGAUUCUUAUAGGUGAUCAAGAAAGUGGUUUCUUGAGGUGGAACAACUCCUUGUGAAGAUGCCGUGAAUAUUGUUGGAAUGACAAUAAAGGAUUUAGAAUAUUCCAUAAACUUAGUUGAUAAAGCAGUUGCAGUGUUUGAGAAGAUUGACUCCAGUUUUGAAGGAAAUCUUACUAUGGGCAAAAUGCUAAAUGGCAUCCCAUGCUAUUUCUUUAAAGGAGAGUUGAUUAAUGCUGUUUUAGUUAAGAAAUUGCAGGGAGAGAGCAAGAUGGCCAACCAGAUGGACCCAGGAAGAACAGCUACCACUGAUGGACCAAGACACUGGCGCACACUCCUAACAGAUAUUCAGAGGGAAGGCACCGAGAGUAGAUGGAAGGAAGACACAGAAGCUGGGCUGAAGUGGGAGGAAGCUUGGAAUUCUGCACAGGAUUACCAUGCACCGGGACUCAUUCCUGGCCCUUAAAGACUCCAGGGGAACUGGUGAGUUGAACUGGCAAGGAGCAAGCCACUUUCACCACGGGCCUCUGGCUGCUUAGAGAAGUGGUAGGAGCCUCAUGCCAGCUGAAGUGGAGCCCAGAGCUCUUGGUGUGGGAGUGUCUGUAGUAGAGCACUGCCAGGGAAGCCCAUCUCCCUAGGCUCGACUUGCUCCCAUAGGAGACCUUAGCCCUAGGGGAACUGUUGGACCUGAACUCUGCAGGGUGGUCUUACCCACCAUAUGGCGCCAGUCUGAUCUGAGCACCACUUGGUGUGCUGGCCUCUCCUAGGUCCCAGCCUGGCCACACCUACUUGCAGGGCAGCCUCGGGUACCCUGGGGGCCCACAUCAUAGCUUCUGCACUGGUGGACCCUGCCUGACUAGUGGAGAGCUCCAGCAGAGCAACCCCCACAGCCACACACCAGCCCACCCACACCCUCCCCGCACAGCCACUUCCCCAGGGCCCAAAGCAACCUCCCACAUUGCUUUGCCAGCACGUGUGUAUGGGAGCAGGUUUUGCCACCUUUGUUCUGUCAGUGUGCCUGUGUGCGUGCACCCUCCUCUGCCACUGCCGCAGUGGGGUUGCACUCUGCUCUUUCUUCCCCUGCCAGACCACCAUUGCAGUCAGAGUGUUGGUGGACCCAUGGAAAAUCAGCCCCACUCCCACUAGCACCACAUCCUUGCACCAACACUGACACAGAAGUGAAACUAGGCACAGAGAACAGCAGACCCUCCCCUACCCUGAGAAACCACCCCUUCAUGCAGUUCACAGAGAAUGCAUACAGACCUGUACCCACCAGCACCCUGCCCCUAUGCAUCCCCAAGACAGCACAAUCAUGUGUAAUAAUCACCAGCAGGGGUCCCCAACCUCUGGAACCCUGCUGUCUCCACCACUGUGGUGAACACCUGCACGGAGGCAGGCACCCAGUAACCCACUGGUACCCUGUCACAGCUGAUGAGCAUGUACCCUGCUGCGCUGUCACUGCUGCUGGCAUAUGCAAAUGAGGAAGAAUGCUGCUGCCACUGCACUAUGAGCACACAGUCCUGAGGUUGGGAGCUGAGUGUUGGCCCCCUAAAACCUUCCAGAAACAAACCAGUAGACUAAAUCCACCUUAUACCACAAACUCUCAAGGUCAUCAAGUAAGAUAAAAGGAAAAUAAAAACAUCCAACAGUCAGCAACUUCAAAGAUUGAAGAAGCACCAGCUCAUAAAAAUGAGAAAGAACCAGCAGAAGAGCACUGACAACUCAAAAGCCAGAGUACCUUCUUUCCUAUAAACAACUGCAAGUGUUCUGAACUGGGCUGAGAUAGCUGAAAUGACAGAAAUAAAAUUCAAAAUAUGGAUAGGAACAAAGAUCACUGGGCUUCAGGGCACAUUGAAACCCAAUCCAAGGAAGCUAAGAAUCACAGUAAAACAGUGCAGGAGCUGACAGACACAAUGGCCAGUGUAGAAAAGAACAUAACCACCCUAAUAGAGCUGAAAAACACACUACAAGAAUUUCAUGGUGCAGUCACAAUUAUUAAUAGCAGAGCAGAACAAGAGGAGGAAAGAAUCAGAGCUUGAAGACUGGCUUUCUGAAAUAAGACAGUCAGACAAGAAUAGAGAAUAAAGAAUGGAAAUGAAUGAACAAAACCUCUGAAAAAUAUGGAGUUCUGUAAAGAGACCAAAUCUGUGACCCAUUGAUGUCCCUGAUUGGAAAGAGAUGAGGAGAGUAUGAGCAACUUGUAAAAUGUAUUUCAGGAUAUCAUCCAUGGAAACACUUCCAACCUAGGUAGGGAAGCCAACAUUCAAAUUCAGGAAGUGCAGAGAACCCUAGUAAGGUACUUCACAAGAAGAUCAUCCCCAAGACACAUAAUUAUCAGAUUCUCCAAGGUCAAAAUGAAAGAGCAAAUGUUAAAGGCAGCUAGAAAGAAAGGUCAGGUCACCUACAUAGGGAAGCCUAUCACACUAAGAGCAGAUCUCUCAGCAGAAACCCUACAAACCAAAAGAGAUUGGGGACCAAUAUUCAACAUUCCUAAAAAAAUUCUAACCCAGAAUUUCAUAUCUUGUCAAACGAGUCUUCAUAAGCAAAGGAGAAAUAAGAUCCUUUCCAAUCAAGCAAAUGCUGAUGGAAUUCAUUACCUCCCAACCUGCCUUACAAGAGCUUCUCAAGGAAGCUCUAAAUAUGGAAAAAGAGUUAUCAGCCACUAAAAAACACACGGAAGUACACAGACCAGUGACGCUAUAAAGCAACCACACAAACAAGUCUGCAUGAUAACCAGCUAACAUCAUAAUGACAGGAUCAAACCCACACAUAUAAAUACUAACCUUGAAUGUAAAUGGGCUAAAUGCGUUUGCAGAAGGUUAAAACUGGACCCCCCUCCUUAUACCAUAUAGAAAAGUUAAGAUGGAUUAAAUGUAAAAUCAAAAACUGUAAAAACCCCGGAAGACAACCUAGGCAGUACCAUUCAGGACAUAGGCAUGGGCAAAGAUUUCAUGCCAAAAGCAGUUGCAACAAAAUAAAAAAUUCACAGAUGGGAUCUAAUAAAAUGAAAGAGCUUCUGCACAGCACAAGAAACUAUCAACAGAGUAAACAGACAACCUACACAAUGGGAGAAAAUUUCUGUAAACUAUGCAUUUGACAGCGGUCUAAUAUCCAGCAUCUAUAAGGAACUUAAACAAAUUUGCAAGAAAAAAACAACCCCAUUAAAAAGUGGGCAAAGGACAUGAACAAACACUUUUCAAAACGAGACAUACAUAUAGCCCACAAUCAUGAAAAAUGCUGAACAUCACUGAUCAUUAGAAAAAUGCAAAUCAAAACCACAGUGAGAUAUAAUUCUCAAUCAGAAUGACUAUUAUUAAAAUGUCAAAAAAAUAACAGAUGCUGGCAAGGUUGUGGAGACAAAGGGAUGCAUAUACACUGUUGAUGGGUGUAUAAAUUAGUUCAACCAUUGUGGAAGAGAGUGUGGUGAUUCCUCAAAGACCUAAAACCAAAUACCAUUUGACCCAGCAAUCCCAUUACCAGGUAUAUACUGGAAGGAAGAUAAAUAAUUCUGUCAUAAAGACACAGGCAUAUGUAUGUUCAUUGCAGCACUAUUCGCAAUAGCAAAGACAUGGAAUCAACCUAAAUGUCCAUCAAUAAUAGACUCGAUAGAGAAAAUGUACAUAUACACCAUGGAAUACUGUGCAGCCAUAAAAAAGAAUGAAAUCAUGUCCUUUGCAAAAAUGUGGAUGGAGCUGAGACCAUUAUUUUUAGCAAACUAACACAAGAACAGAAAACCAAAUACUGCAUAUUCUCACUUAUAAAUUGGAGCUGAAUGGUGAGAACACAUGGACACAUAGAGGGGAACAAGUCACACUUGGACCUACUGGAGGAUGGAGGGUAUGCGAAAAUAGAGGAUCAGGAAAAAUAACUAAUGAAUACUAGCUUAAUACCGGUGUGAUGAAAUAAUCUGUACAACAAACCCCCGUGAUACAAGUUUACCUAUGUAACAAACCUGCCCGUGUACUUCUGAAGUUAAAAGUAAAAAAUAAAAGGAAUUAUAAGAAAUAUUUAACACAAAAAAGAUUUUAAAAAAUGGGUGAAAUGCCCCAAUUAAGAGGCACAUAGUGGCAAGCUGGAUUAGGAACCAAGACUCAUUGGUACGUUGUCUUCAAGAGACCCAUCUCACAUGCAGUGAGACCCAUAGGCCCAAAAUAAAGGGCCAGAGAAAAAUCUACCAAGCAAACAGAAAACAGAAAAAUCCUAAUUUCAGACAAAAGAGACUUUAAACCAGCAAAGAUUACAAAAAGGAUAUCACAUAAUGGUAAAGGCUUCAAUUCAACAAGAAGACCUAACUAAUCUAAAUAUAUAUGCACCCAACAGAGGAGCAUCCAGAUUCAUAAAGCAAGUUCUUAGAGACCUAUGAAGAGACUUAGAUAACCACAAAAUAAUAGUGAGAGACUUCAACACCACACUGACAAUAUUAGACAGAUCAUCAAGGCAGAAAAUUAACAAGGAUAUUCAGGACCUGAACUCAGCACUGGACCAGAUGUACCUGAUAGACAUCUGCAGACAUCUCCAUCCAAAAGCAACAGAGUAUACAUUAUUCUCACUGCCACAUGGUACAUACUCUAAAAUCAAUGACAUAAUCGGACACAAAACAUUCCUCACCAAAUGCUGUAUAAUGAGUACUAGGCUCAUUAUAAUAACCACCCUCUCAGACCACACCACAAUCAAAUUAGAAAACAAGACUAAGAAAUCCACUUAAAACCAUAUAUUUAAAUGGAAAUAGAAUAACCUACUCCUGAAUGACUUUUGGGUAAAUAGUAAAAUUAAGGCAGAAAUCAAGUUCUUUGAAACUAUUGAGAACAAAGAUGCAACAUACCACUCGAGUGUGCAGUGGGGAAGCCAACCUUGGACAGCUGAGCAUGUGAGAAAAAAAAAAAGAUGCAACAUACCAGAAUCUGUGGGACACAGCUAAGGCAGUGUUAAGCAGGAAAUUUAUAGCACUAAAUGCUCACAUCAAAAGUUAGAAAUACCUCAGUUUAACAAGCUGACAUCACAACCAAAAGGACUAGAGAACCAAUAGCAAACAAACCUCAAAGUUAGCAGAAGACAAGAAAUACCCAAAAUCAGAGCUGAACUGAGAUUGAGACAUGAAAAAAAACAUUCAAAAUAUCAAUGAAUUCAGGAGUGGGUUUUUGAAAAAAUUACUAAAAUAGGUAGACUGCUAGCUAGACUAAUAAGAAAAACUAGAAGAUCCAAAUAAACACAAUUAGAAAUGUCAAAGAGGAUAUUACUGCUGACCCUACAGAAAUACAGAUAACCAUCAGAGAACAUUAUGCACAUAAACUGGAAAAUCUCAAAGAAAUGGAUAAAUUCCUGGAGACAUACAUCCUCCCAAGACUGAGCCAAGAAGAAAUUGAAACCCCGAACAGACCAAUAAUGAGCUCCAAAAUUGAAUUAGUAAUAAAUAGCCUACCAACCAAACAGAACUAGAGCCAAAUUCUACCAUAUGUACAAAGAAGAGCUAAUACCAUUCCUACUGAAACUAUUGCAAAAAUUGAGGAGGGACUCCUCCCUAACUCAUCCUAUGAGGCCAACAUCAUUCUGAUAACAAAACCUGGCAGAGACACAACAACAACAAAAAAACUUGAGGCCAGUAUCCUUGAUGAAUAUCAGUGCAAAAAUCCUCAACAAAAUACUGGUAAACCAAAUCCAGCAGCACAUCAAAAAGCUUAUCCACCACAAUCAAGUAGGCUUUAUCCCUGGUAUACAAGUUGGUUCAACAUACACAAUUCAAUAAAUGUGAUUCAUCACAUAAAUGGAGCUAAAGACAAAAACCAUAUGAUUAUCUCAGUAGAUACAGAAAAGGCUUUUGAUAAAAUUCAACACCCCUGCAUGUUAAAAUCUUUCAAUAAACUAGGUAUUGAAGGAACACACCUCAAAAUAAUGAGAGCCAUCUAUAGCAAACCCACAGCCAACAUCAUACUGAGUGGGCAAAAGCUGGAACCAUCUCUCUUGAAAACGGACACAAGACAAGGAUGCUGUCUCUCACACCUCCUAUUCAACAUAGUAUUGGAUGUCCUGUCCAGAGCAAUAGGCAAGAGAAAUAAAGGGCAUCCAAAUAGGAAGAGAGGAAGUCAAACUAUUUCUGUUUGCAGACAACAUGAUCCUAAAUCUAGAAAACCUCAUAUUCUUGGUUCAAAAGCUCCUUCAGCUGAUAAACAACUUCAGAGUCCAAGGAUACAAAAUCAGGGUACAAAAAUCACUAGCAUUACUUUAGACCAACGACAGUAACUAAACUAGAAAUGCUUUAUACCAGUUUGGCCAAGAGCCAAAUCAAGAGCACAAUCCCGUUCACAAUUGCUACAAAAGAAUAAAGUACCUAGGAAUACAGCUAACCAGGGUGGUGAAAGCUCUCUUCAAGGAGGACUACAAAACACUUUUCAAAGAAAUCAGAGGUAACAGAAACAAAUGGAAAAAUAUUCCAUGCUAACGGAUAGGAAGAAUCAAUAUUGUCAAAAUGGCCAUACUGCUCAAAGCAAUUUAUAGAUUCAGUGUUAUUCCUAUCAAAUGACCAAUGACGUUCUUCACAGAACUAGAAAAAAAACUAUGUAAAAAUUCAUAUGGAACCAAAAAAGAGCCCAAAACGCAAGAAGAUCCUAAGCGAAAAGAACAAAGCUCAGGGCAUCAUGCUACCUGACUUCAGACCAUACUCUAGGGCUAUAAUAACCAAAACAGCAUGGUGCUGGUACAAAAACAGACACAUAAACCAUUGGAACAGAAUAGAGAGCCCAGAAAUAAGGCCUUGCACCUACAACUAUCUGACCUUUGAUGAAAUUGACAAGAAUAAGCAAUGGGGAAAGGACUCCAUAUUCAAUAAAUGGUGCUGGGAUAACUGGCUAGCCAUAUGCAGAAGACUGAAACUGGACCCCUUCCUUAUACCAUAUACAGAAAUCACCUAAAGAUGGAUUAAAGACUAAAUGUAAAACCCAAACCUAUAAAAACCCUGUAAGACAACCUAAGCAAUUCCAUUCUGGACAUAGGCAAAGAUUUUAUGAUGAAGACACCAAAAGCAAUUUCAACAAAAGCAAAAAUUGGCAAAUGGGAUCUAAUUAAAGAGUUUCUGUGCAGCAAAAGAAACUAUCAACAGAGUAAACAGACAACCUACAGAAAGGGAGAAAAAUUUUGCAAACUAUGCUUCUGAGAAAGGUGUAAUAUCCAGCAUCUAUGAGAAACUUAAACCAAUUUACAAGAAAAAAAAACCCCAUUAAAAAGUGGGCACAGGAUAAAAAGGAAUGAGUUCCUGUCCUUUGCAGGGACAUGGAUGGAGCUGGAAGCCAUUAUCCUCAGCAAAGUAACGCAGGAACAGAAAACCAAACACCACAUGAUCUUAUAAAUGGGAGCUGAACAAGGAGAAUGCAUGGAAAUGGAGGGGAACAACACACACUGGGGGCUGUCAAGGUGAGGUCAGGAGGAGGGAGCCAUCAGGAAAAAUAGCUAAUGCAUGCUAAGCUUAAUACUUAGAAGAUGGGUUGAUAGGUGCAGCAAACCACCACGACACACAUUUACAUAACAAACCUGUGCAUCCUUCACAUGUGCCCUGUAACAAAAAAAAAAAGUGGGUGAAUGAUGUGAACAGACACUUUUCAAAAGGAGACAUACACACAGCCAACAGGCAUAUGAAAAAAAGCUGAACAUCACUGAUCAUUAGAGAAAUGCAAAUCAAAACAGUGAGAUACUGUCUCACACCAGUCAGAAUGGCUUUUAUUAAAAAUUCAAGAAAUAGCAGAUGCUGGCAAGGUUGUGGAGAAAAAGGAAUGCUUAUUCACUGUUGGUAGAAAUGUAAAUUUGUUCAACCAUUGUGGAAGACAGAUACCUCAAAAACCUAAAAACAGAAAUACCAUUCAACCCAGCAAUCCCAUUACUAGGAUAUAAAUCAUUCUGUCAUAAAGGAAUAUAAACCAUGCUGUUAUAAAGGAAUAUAAGUCAUUCUGUCAUAAAGACACAUGCACGUGUAUGUUCAUUGUGGCACUAUUCACAAUAACAAAGACAUGGAAUUAACCAAAAUGUACAUCACUGAUAGACUGGAUAAAGAAAAAGUGAUACAGCUAAAUCCUGGAAUACUAUGUAGCCAUAAAAAAGAACACGUAGGAACAUGGAUGGAGCUGGAGGCCAUUUAUCCUUAGCAAACUGACACAUGAACAGAAAACCAAAUACCAGGUAUUUUCACUUAUAAGUGGGAGCUAAAUGAUGAGAACACAUGGACACAUAGAAGGGAACAACAGACACUGGGGCUUACAAGAGGGUGAAGGUUGGGAGGAGGGAGAAGAUCAGGAAACAUAACUAAUGAGUACGAGGCUUAAUACUUUGGUGACUAAAUAAUAUGUACAACAAACCCCCAUGACACAAGUUUACCAAUAUAACAAAGCUGCACAUAUACUCCUGAGCUUAAAAUAAAUGUUAAAAAAAAAAGUGAGAAAAAAAAAAUUGCCAGAGUCGCCCCAGCCUUCAGCUGACACCACUGUAUGAUCAGCCAGUAGCCAUCAAGAUCAAGAUAAGACCUUCCACCAGUAAAAAGGUUACAACUUGCUGGAGGCUCAGCUGAUCAUUAGCGUUUUUUAGCAAUAUUUUAAAAAUAAGAUAUGUACUUUUAUUUAGACAUAAUGCUAGUGCACAGUUUAUAGACUACAGUGUAAUAUAACUUCUAUAUGCACUGGAAAGCAAAUUUGUGUCACUUGCUGUAUUGUGAUAUUCACUUUAUUGUGGUGGUCUGGAACAGACCCACAAUAUCUCCAAGAUAUGCCUGUAGAAGCUUCUCUAGACCUUUGAUAUUUGGCUGGAUAUUAUAAAAAUAAACACACCCCAUUCCUGAAUCCAGAAGUUUUUCAAUCACAGUGUCAAUAUCUGUAGGUCAUGAGCGUGCCCAUUCAGCAUUUAUUGGGCUUAAUGUAUGUGCAGAUUCUUUGGUGGGCCUUGGGAUAAAAAGUUUAAGAAGACAUGUCCAUGCCCACAAAGAGCUCAAAAGCUAGUGGGAGAGGUAUGUGUACAGUGAGAAUAGGGACUCUACAUCAAGGUGUGUGGUGGAAGUGGAGAGACACAAGCAAAGAAGGGGGCACUACCUAACCAUUGUCUUAAAGGAUUAAUUCUGGUUUGCCAGGUAGACCAAGCGGCAUGUUCAGGGAGUGUUACAGAGUUAGGGAACAACACUUGGAAAGGGCUCAAGACUUAGCAUUCUAAGGGAAUGCCACUUGUGGGUGAUGGAAAUAUCUGGAAGCCCUUGACUUUUGGAUUAGUUGGGAAAUUCCUCUGAAAUGUGUGCAUUAUGUCUGACUUUGGUCUUAGUUGGGUCACAGGCAACCAUUAGCCUGAUAAUAUAAAUGUUUUGUAUUUUAUGUGUUUCGACAGUAUUCUGAAGCUUAUUGACAAACCAGAAAACGGAGUCAUUUAUAGUUUUGUUGUGAAUCAACAUGGUGAAUCAUUGUUUAGUUUUGUUUUGUUUUGAGCUCAGAAUGCUUCCUUUUGGAAUGAUGAAGCAGAAUGACCAUUUGAGGAAUAUUUCAGGGGCAGAAGAAAUGGCAGGAACAAAGUGGGAAUAGUAUGCCAGGGGGUAGUGAGGAGAUGAUUCCAGCCCCAAAGAAAAGCCCCAUUGGUCCGUAGAAAAUAAGGGUGGUAAUGUUGGAAGUUAGUUUGGGGGCACAGAUAGAAUGCAGACUCUGAGGGAAGACAUGCUGAAUUCAGAUUCUAACAUUAACUAGCACUGUGAUUGUGAACUAAUGACUUAACCUUUCUGAGGUUUAGUUUUCUCAGCUAUAUAGUAUAAAAUGGAAAAAAAUUCUUCAACAGCUUUUCAGUUUGGAGUUAGGAUUUAAUAAAAGAAUAGAUGUACAGCUCUUGACAAUGUAUUCUAAAUACAUCUUACCUUUGGUUCAGACUUUGGAGGAUAUAGAAUAUGAAUUUAAUGUGUAAAUCAACCAUUACAAAUAUUUUAUUUUUUAAAGAUAUGCACAUGUCAUAGUCCAUUUGUGCUGCUAUAACAAAAUACCACAGGCUAGGUAAUUUAUAAAUAAGAGAAAUUUAUUUUUCACAGUACUGGAGGCAGGGAGAUCAAGGCACUGGCAGGUUUUGUGUUUGCUGAGAGCCAGGUCUUCACUUCAAAGAUGGUGCCUUUUUGCUGCCUCUCUCUGAGAGGAUGGACACUGUGUAGUCACAUGGCCAGAAGGUGGAAGGGCAAGAGAGUGCUCCCUUCAACCUCCAGCCCUUUUAUAAGGAUUCGAAUCUCAUCCACGAGGGUGGAAUCCUCAUGACCUAAUCACUUUUCAGAGGCCACGCCUCUUAAUCCUGUUGCGUUGGGGAUUGUCUUAACAUAAAUUUUGGAGGGGCACCAUUUUUCAAACUAAAGCAGCACUGUACUAAAUCUUUAUGGGUGGUGGCUAUACAGUAAUGAAAAAGUCCUUUUGAAAUGUCUUUUUUUGAUGAAAAAGUGCUUGCCUGGGCCUUAGGAAGCACCAUAUAAAUACUGGUAAGUCACUGAGCUCCUCGUGUCACUCAUAAUGGUCCCAAAUUCUCUACAUUUCCACACAUGAAAACGUUGUUCACCCACUUUCAGAAUGCUUUGGUUUCUUUCCAGAAGUGUUGAUGGGUUUGCAUGGAUCUCUCCCUACUUUCACCACCCUCGUUCCUUUAAUGUCAAUAGCACACAUUUUUUAGGUGACUGACUAGGAUUUGGGUGGCAGUCCAUGGCCAUGAAAUCCAGAGAAAGUAGAAUGGCUCAUACUUAAAGACAGAAAUGGCUCUAGUAGAGAAUAAACAUUUGAAUUAACUAAUGUGAUAAGGUACAUGUUCUAAAGUCUAGUUCAAUUUUUAGAUUCAUGGAAAAUUCGUGAAGCAGGAAAGAACUCAUCCUCAGUCUCUAAAGCUGAUUUUAAAUUAGGCAUGUAUACUCUUUCCUUCUUAGGCUUAGUUUCCUUAGAAGGUUCAAUAUAGUUCAAGAAGUUUCCACAGUGGGGCUGUAUUUUGCCAUCUAGCAAAGGUUCAGCAGAGCCUUCCUUCAGGUCACUUCAGCUACAUAAGGCAAAUGAAGUUUUCUAGUGCAACAGGGAAUGAUUUAGUGUUCAAGGAAUAUCAUUCUUCACAUAAAUUGAUGUCACAGAUUCUUUGAAUAGAUGUUCCCAGUGGUGGCCUUAGACUAGGAUUAACUCAGAGUCUCUCUGAGUCUGCAUUUUUAAAGUAUCUGUUGUGUUUUUGAGCUCCCUAUCAGUGAAAGUCACCACUGCUCAUGUAGGAGCAUAGAGCAGAAAACUGUUUUUUUUCUUGGUUCUUCCAUUUUCUUAGGCCCUCAAGCCUCAAGCAAAUUUUUCUCUUCUGCUUUCCAAAUAUAUCUUGAAUCUGUGUGCUUUCUUUUUCUAAUCCAAGGUUACACCAUCUCUGCACAGACAGCCUUGGUGGCUCCUAGAUGGUUUCUGUGCAUCCGUUCUGGCCCCUCCUGUCCGUUUACCCCUAUAGAGCAGCCAAAGUAAUCUUGUCAAACACAAAUCUUGUUGUUUGGCUUCCUUACAGCCCUUUAGUGGUUUCCCAUCCAUCUUAAUAAGGUAAUCCAAAUUCAUAGUACUUUCUCAUGUAACCAGUACUGACUGAUCUCUCUAUAAGUCUCUUUCAUCACAGUGUAUGCUGGGUGCACAGAGAUAAGUAAGGCUUUCCUCCUACUCUUAAGGAACCUAUAGUCUAGCAAAACAGUUAAUCAAUGUUUACUCAUUUAUCCAUAAAUGUUCAUUGAAAUCCUAUCAUUUACCAGCACAGUGCAGAAUAAGGAGUUGGUGACUUUGUUGUUGUGCAUGUGAUGAAAUGGGUGACUUGAAUUCACAUGGCCUAUUUGCUGUUCUAAUGACAAUUUUGACCUGGUUAGCCUAAAUCCAAAGCAUGUGGUUUUAAUCAUUAUACUUAUAUCAGUUAUUUUCUACAAUAAUACUGCAUAGCAAACAACUAAAAAUCCUCAAAUAAGUUCAGCAGUGUUUACUGCUUACACAUCUGGGGUGGGUCACCUAAGCAGCUCUAUUAAUUUUGGUUGGCUUUGCUCACAUGUUGGGGUUGGCUUGCUUUUGGCUGAUCUAGAUGGGCCUUGGCUGGGGGGAUAACUAGGGAGACUUGGCCAUGUUCUUUGCGCCUUAUUCUUUAGUAGAGUAGUCUGGGUAUACGCUCAUGAUGACAAAGGAUCAAGAGAGCAGGCAGGCCUAGUCUCACCAGUGCUUUUUAAGCUCUGUUUGCAUCAUGUCUUGCUCACAUCACAAGCUGACCAAGACAAAUUAUACAGCUAACUCCAGAGUCAGAAUAUGUACUGCAAAGUCACAUGGCCACGAUUUGGAUUCAGGGAGAAUUCAGCCAUCAUUGUAAUCCAUCAUGAUGCUGUAUUUGUUCUUAUUAUAGCUAGUGUAUAAUUUGAUGAUAGGAUUUACCAAAUUAUGUGAAAAUAUAUACUGUCACCUCCCACUUGGAAACCCAUUAUAGGUAAAGGCCCUGUCUUCAGCACGAUGCCUGGCAUAUAAUAGAAGACCAACAAAUGUUAAAUUAAUGGAAUUAUUAGUAGGUUGAUGACUUUGAGAUGUUUACUCUAGAUAAACUUUUUCAGCCUCAGCUUAGUCAAUUAUAAAUAGGCGAUAAUAAUAUCUACCACUGCCAGUUUUCUGAGGAUUAAGUAUGGGAAAAAUGUAAAAGUAUAUACUGCUUACUCAAAAAAGAUAGUUACUUCUCCCCUCAUCCCCCACCUUCCCUUUUCAGUGGGUUUUUAUGAAUUUUGGAAAAUAGGAAAUGCUUUAAUUUUGGCCCAUUUUAAGCAAGGGGUUAUAGAAUAGAGAGCUCUGAAUUCAAAAUAUCUUCCAUAUUUUCUACUAAUUGCUAGUUUAGUAUAAUACUUGUCUCCUAAAAAUUGGGAUCCUUUUGGAUGCUUAAGCUUAUUAACAAUUUGCAGUUUGUCUUGAAUCCUUAUAAUGUAGGGGUAGAUUUCCUCUUCCUCAUUCCUAUAGACAACAUAUGUGAAGAGGAAAUGGGAAUUUAGAAGGGUAGUGGAGUGGAAUUUUGGGAAAUAGGGCAUUUUGUGGGAGGACAAGCCUGGUGUAGGUACUGUGGUGUGUCUGUAUAUUGGGGGGUGUGGGAAGUUGGAUAGGCAGAGGGAAGAGAGUGUGAGGUCUUCCAGCAGGCAAGACAGGGCUGGUGGGGCAGAGAAUAAAAACCUAACUCCUUUUUGUCAGUUUUUCUAUACUUUGUAGUUGCCCUGGGGAUCGUUUCUGAUACCUGAUAGAGAUAUUCAGUUGUAUUUUAUUAGUAUUCCUAAAUUUAAAAGAGUUAUAUUCUGUCUUUGGUGGUGUUCUUCCAUAAAAAAGAUUAUAUAAAAAUUAAAAUUACGUAUGCUAUAUAUGUGUAUACACACACAUGUAUACAUAUACAGGCUUGCUAAUGUAAAGACACUUCAAAAAUCUUUGAUUUUAUAAAUUCUUUUCUUAGCCAUUCCUAUAAGCUGCCUUUUUUUACUCUAAAAGUAUCUGUAAUUAUUUCAGUAUUUCUCCUCAAUAAUACUAUAGAUGACUGUUUAAGCACAAAUAAAUAAAAUAUUUUCUAUUGUAAUUGUUUUUUCCCUCAUUGGUACUUUUUUGUGCGAUAUGGAUAGUGAUCAAGUGUACAAUGAAUGGCAUUAAUACAUGGAACCCUCCAUAGGUUUUGAGUCCUUCCAGGGGCCAUAAUGUUGUCUUUGCCAAUUUAUAAGAGAUUAUAUUUAUUCAUUCAUUUGAAUAUAUAUAUAUGUAUUUAUUUAUUUUGAAUAUAUGUAUAUAUAAUUGUACUCCUUUCUUCCUGCAAACCACUCCCCACAGAUGUAGGGCAGAGACACAUAUGGCUUCUAUCAAUUUAGGGAGUAGCUUUGAGCACAUCCUAUUAAAUUGUCUAUUCCCAAAGGCAAUACCAACACAUUCAGUGAAUGUUAUUUUUUCCUACAGUUAUAUUCUUGAUUGGACCACAAAGUUUUUCAUAAUACUGUACAUGAAAAAUAGGACAUUCUAACUUUUUAUACAUAAUCAACCCCUACCCCAACCCCUUUUUAGAAAACACUUUUUUAAAAAUGAGGCGUUAAGUAGAUUGUAUUUCAGCUCUGAAAAGCCACAGUGAGUGUUAGUUACUCCAUUUUUUUCAGUUACUGUGAUUGAGUUCUUAUUCUUUAUGUCUGUGUAUUAAUUGGGGUUGGUAUAGCUAAUUCCCCCUUGCCCUUCAUAUGUCUGGAACAUGCUAGAUUUGCUGCCAGAAUACUUUUAUAUCAGUUAUUUAGAAGUAAAGUCACCUUAUUAAUUUUAAAUGAAUUUAAAGUUAGAAUAAUUUGAAGAAUCCUAGACUUUGAACUUUAUUUUGUUAGUUACAAUACUAAAAGUUUGAAAUGUAAAAGAAAAUUUUUUCUUUUAGGAAAAAAAUUAUAAAUGGGCCCUGCAUUCUCUCCAGGGCAUUUUUUUGUCAGCAUUUUUCAAGGUUUAACCUUAACUGCUAAGGCCUAUAAUCAGGUAUAUAUAUAUAUACCUGAUUUGUUUUCCCAUUGUAACAAUUCCUGGUUAGGUUAGAGUUUUGCAAGAAAUUUGUUUAAGGUAUAUGUGGUGAGGGUGUGGGUUUUACCAGUAACCUGGUGAAAGCCAUGAUUCUCAGGAUAUAUUAGAGAAAUUAAAGAAAGCACCUCAGUUUCAACAGCAACAGCUUCUUCAAAAGAGUACAGUUUUUUUCUAGACUUUUCAAUUACACAUUGAGAAAUUAUUUGAUAACCUAAAAAGUAAGUUUUCUUCCUCCUUUUAAAUAUUCAGGUAUCUGCUACAUCUGACUGGUAAAUCAGAUAGUUGCUGUUAUUCAAUUUUCUUUACAAAAUGAAUCUGAAUUUUUUUUUGAGAAAAACCUCGCUCUGUCAUCCAUGCUGGAGUACAGUACUACAGCCUCAAACUCCUGUGCUCAAGCAAUCCUCAUGUCUCAUUCUCCCAAGUAGCUAGGACUACAGGUGCAUGCCACCACAGCUGGCUAAUUUAUUUUUAUUUUUAGUAGAGAUGGAAUCUUGCUAUAUUUCUCUGGCUGAUCUUGAUCUCCUGGCCUCAAGUGAUCCUUCCACCUUGGCCUUCAAAAGUUCUGAGAUGUACUCAAGACCAUGCCUGGCCUUGAAUCUGAAAUUUUUAUGUGCAAAAUGGAACUGAAAAAAGUCACAAGAAAUUACUGUUUUCAAAUAUGUACCAUAUACCUUCUAAAAUGAUGCAGCUUGUACCUGCCUCUUAAUUAUGAAUAUCAGAUAUUAGUAAUAUUUUUUAAAAUAAUGAGUUUAUUGGAGAAGCUUUAUUCAGUUAAAUCUUCUCAAUUCAGAAUUUUGUUACCUAACCUGUUUUGCAUUUGCCAUUAAUUUUGAUUCAAUGCUCUGUACUUAAUGAUCCCCAAAUUCCUAAAUACCCUUACAUUAAUAGAUCAUGCAAUUAAGUUGAAUUGUAUCCUAGGAAGUCAAUUAGUACCUCUUCCACAAGUUACCUAGCCUCAGGACAAGAUGUUACAGGCUUUUGUGCAAUAGAACACUCAUAAGUUCCUACCCUCACAAGAACAGACACCACAUACUGUAUAUGCGUGGGUGACUGCAUAUGUGUAUAUCUAGUACCAGGCUUAGGUAAUGCUGGACUUUUGUUUCUGGCAAAGGCAAUUGAUACUAGAAUCAUAUUUAAAAGAGUAUGCUUCUUCCUUAUCUAUACCUUGGUAGCACUAUAUAACAAAAUGUUUUACCUUUAUAGGUUACCUUACACUCCAUUUUGGGUAAAUAAUACGUAUUACUUACUAGUUUUUUAAUAGAGACAUAUUAAAGAGGAAAGCAAACAUAAUUUAUAAUCCUAUCCAAUUUUUUUAUUUAAAAUAAUAAAUUGCUCAUUUAUCCUUUAAUAAAAAACAUGUAUGUAUGCCCUCCAGGUAUGUGUCUGUGUAUACAUUUUCACUUGCACAAAAGUUAUACAUAAUGUCAUUAUUCUUAUGCCUUACUGUUUUGUAAGGACCACCAAAUAUUCUGUUGUAUAACUAUAUUAUUUAUUUAGCCUGUAUCAAUCAUACUGAUGAGUGUUCAAGUUGUCUCCAAUCUUUUACUAUUAAAAACAGUGUUGCAGUGAACAUCCUUGGACCUAGAACUUAGUGGUACUUUUGCAAAUGUACUUGUGAAAUAAGUUUCUAGCUGGGAAUUUUUGGCUCAAAAGAGCAUUAUUUUUGGCAGGGCAUGGUGGCUCAUGCCUGUAAUCCAAACACUUUGGGAAGUGGAGGCAGGAGUAUGGCUUGAGUUUAAGGGUUUGAGACCAGCCUGGGCAACAUAGCGAGACCUUGUCUCUACUAAAAAUACAAAAAAAAAAAAAAAGAGUGAUGGCACACACCUGUAGUCCCAGUUGCUUGAGAGGCUAGGGUGGGAGGAUUCACCUGAGCCUGGGAGAUUGAGGCUGCAGUGAGCUAUGGUCGCACCACUGCACUGUAUCCUGGAUGACAGAGCAAGAAUGUCUUUAAAAAAAUCCAAAAAUAACAUUAUUUUUAAGAGCACAUAAAGCAGUGAACUAACUACACACUGCUGAGCCACAGUUUGUUAUUGUUUAAAUACAUCUGAGUGGCAGAAAUUGACCAAGUAAAGUUAUUAGAGUAAAAAUAAAAUUGUACUGAGAGUCACUGGGAUAUUUUGUGGACUAUAAAUAUGGUGGUAAUAGCCUAUAAUUAACUGUCAUCAACUUUAGACAUUAUUGAUUUAAUAAAAUUUUUGUCACAAUUUCAUCCCUGUGGUUUCACAAGUAGUCCAUAAACAUUCUCGAGGUUCAUUUUAGAUCAAAGACCAUUAAAAAAAUGGAACUACCCACAAACCUCCUGUGCCUAACUACAUCUUCAAAAGCGGACACUCUAAGGAAGACUAUGUUGUUAUGAUCAGAAAUAAGUGCGCUUUCAAUUAAUGAGUGUGUUUUCCCUCCCUCAGGUGAAAGGAAAAAUUUUGGAAAAGUAAAACACUGAAGAGUCAUAGUAUUCUCCUGUAACUUGGAACUGGAGAGGAGGCAAGAUGCUGGCAUAGCUGUUGAACUGGGAACCUGCUAUGCCAACAUAUUGCCAUCUUUCCUGUCUGACAGCAGCCAUGGCCACCUGCAUGCCAGUCCUUCGUGUAUUGCUGUGUAUGUGCGCCCUUCCUUGGAUGUGGAUUUCCAUGACAUGGCCUUUCUCACCUUCCUUACUUCCUGUCCUGCUAUGUAUUGUGUCCUACCAUGAAUUCACUCCAUGCUAGCCACAUUGGCCUGUAUGGCUAUUCCUUGGACACACCUAGGAUGUUCUUGCCUCUUAGCUUGCCUACCUUUCUCUCAUCAUUUGGGCCUCAGCGAGGAUAUCAUCUCCUCAGAGAAGCCUUCUGUGACCAUGCUAUCUAAAAUACUCCAGCACUUCAGUCACCCUUUAUCCCAUUACUCUGCUUUUUCAGAAACAUUGGUGCUCCCUGAAACGUAUUUGUUUACUUGCUUAGUGUCUUUUCUCCCGCACUACCAUGUAAGCUUCUUGAGGGUUAGGGACCUUGUUAGGGAUAACCACUGUAUCCUUAGAGUGUGACACAUAGUAGGUUCUCAAUACAUAUUUUUGAAACUCUACCCUGAUGCAAAAGAGAUAUCAAAUAAUUAUAGUUUUUGCAUUAUAAAUGUCUUUGGUGAAAUCCCUGGCACAAAACUAAUAAUAAAGAAAUAAACAGAUAAUGUUGAGUUCUGGGCCUGCAAACCUAACUCUUUAAAGCAGUCACAGUAAAUGUGUCAUUGGAUCCAUAGACUUGUGGAAGUCAGCAUAUUUUAUUGGGAAAAGCAUGAGCUUCAAAGUAAAACUUAUGGUCAAAUCUCAUUACUGGUGCGUUCUUAAGUCAUUUAACCUCUGAGCCACAGUUUACACAAAUGUAAAAUUAGAGUAAUAAUAGUGACUCCAUAGGACCCUCAAGAUAAGGAAAUAAGGUAUUUUAGUCAGAUGAUUCUUAUCACAUGUCUAAAAAUUUAGUGUCUCUAAAAUUCUUGAUAUAUGCAUACCAGUAGACACUCAACACAUUUAUUUCACUACUAAGAAAAAAGUUUUCUUUAGUUAGAGACAAGGGAUUUUAUGUGAAAUGUGUGGAAAUUCUAUGCCAGAACGAUAGUACAUGUAGAAUUCUUUGUAAAGAUAGAAAUCUUGAGAGACCAAGGAGUUAAUUGUCAAGGAUCUCAAGUUCUUCUCCUGGUUAGUUCACAUUCCUCAUCUUCCUUUGUUUCUGGAGUUACUCAUUAUCUGUAGAUCUCUUUUAAAAGUGGUUUUUACACAUUCACUUUAAAGAGUAAGAAUGUUCAGUAAAUACAAUUGUAUUUUAAUGUUUAAUAAAUACUAAUGUUUAAUAAAUACUGUUUGAUGUUUCAUGUUUUUAAGCAUUGAAGUUUUAAUAAAAAGCUUUGCUUUUAAUAAAUAAAAUUUCAUGUUAAUUUUAAUGCUUUUCCAAGAAAUAAAGUAGCAGUCACUAUUCUCGAUUGUCAUUAUUUAUUAUUACUCAGGGUAUUAAAACAUACAGAAAGAUCACAUUAUACCUUCAUUUCAUGCCUCUUGGAGUAUAUUAAACUAAGCUGCUAAUUUAACAAAAAUGUGUAGCACAAAAGUGAGGUAGUUUUAGUCUACAACUUUUAUAAGCAUCUCUUUAUAUAAGGAUAAUUUGUUUAAAGACAUCAUUGUACAAGCUGAUCUUGCCUAUGAAGGCUUUUAAGAACUCACAAAACAGCUUUAGCUGAAAAUUAGAUUCACAGUGCCUUAUCCAUUCGUUAUAUUAAUGGUAAUUUGUUGCAGGGUCAAUUGGCCAGGACAUACAGUUUAUUACAAGAACUGGUUUAUUUAUUUUACCUAUAACUUAGUUUUAAAAACUUGUUUCAUCAGUUUAUUUGGGCUUCUUUUGCCUUUUGCAGAGUUCCAUGUACCCUCAUCUACAUCAGUUACAGACAUAUCCAGUGCCCCCUUGACCUCAAUGUAGUUGAUGAGCUGGGUUCCAUGUGUGGAAAUGAACAUUGCUUGCCAAGCGCCAUCCUCCAUAGCUGAAACGUGUUUUACUCUAAUUACUAAACACCUGAAGCUUCUUUUUUGAUUCGAAGUGAACAAUGUUUGUGGGGAGAAACCCAAACCCCUAAAACUUCAGAUUUAGGAACAUCAGUGUAAGAGACUAAAAUAAUAAUUAAUAUUCUGAAGUGUCCAAUAACUUCUUGAAGUCAGUGGUUUUUAAACUUCAUUGUUGUAUUAUCACCUAGAGAGCUUGUUUAAAAAUGCAGAUUCCCAAACCAUUCCCUAGACAUUCUAUUUAAUGCAUCUUGACUGAGACUUCAAAUCUUCAUUUUUAAUAAGCAUCCUCCUAUUGAUUCUGAUCCAGCUUGACAACUGUGCUUUGAGGCCGGGUGUGGUGGCUCACGCCUGUAAUCCCAGCACUUUGGGAGGCUGAGGCAGGUGGAUCACCUGAGGUCAGGAGUUCGAGACCAGCCAGGCCAACACAGUGAAACCCCGUCUCUACUAAAAAUAGAAAAAUUAGCCAGGUGCAAUGGCACGCGCCUGUAAUCCCAGCUACUUGGGAGGCUGAGGCAGGAGAAUUGCUUGAGCCAGUGAGGUGGAGGUUGCGGUGAGCUGAGAUCACGCCACUGUACUCUAGCGUGGGUGACAGAGCGAGACUCCAUCUCAAGAAUAUGUAUAUAUAUAUGUAUACAUAUUCUCUAGAAUAUAUAUAUGUGUGUGUGUGUAUAUAUAUACUGUCCUAAGUCUUAUACAAUUCCCAGUAUAGAACUUGGUCGUGGUCUUAAAUGCAGCCUGCUUUCCGACUGUAUCUGUGCUUAUGAAAAACUGGAAAAAGGCUUUGUAAUUGUCCUUCUUACACUGAGCCUUACAUAAACAGCCUUAUAACUAUUCACAGGAGCACUCACUGCACCAUGUAUGGGGUGAUGGUGAUACGCUUCCACAGAGUUUUUAACUUCAAUGCUUUUUUUCUCCAUUGGCUCAUAUUAUAAUUUUCAAGAUGUUUUCUUUUCUUUUCUGAUUGCCUUGAUACUGACCCAAAUCCUUUACCUCUAAAUAUUCUUUCUCUAGGAUUUUUGUCAAAUUGUAAAUGAUAUAUGAGCUCUUUUCGGCUACAGACUAGGUCGAAUUAUGCAGAAGGAAUUUUCAAGAUUUUUAGGACUCUUACUGUGAUAAGUCUUUCUGUAAACUAAAGGAUCAUAUCUUGAGCUAUUUCUUAUUUUUGCAGAUUUUAAAAAAUUUGAGAUGUCUUUUCCUUUAUGAGGUAGUGUAGUGUAGUAGUAGGAGUGUCAGAAUGAAAUGCACAAAGAUCUGGGUCCUAGUCCCAUUUCUGCCAUUUUGUAACCAUGUACAUGAGUUGGGGCAGAUCGUUUAAUCUGUUUUCUUAUUUGUAAAUUGGGGGUAAUAGUAGAAGAGAUUAUAUGGUGUAUUAGAAAAGAGGGAAAAGCAAAAUACAGCUGUGAAAACUAUGUAAGCAAAUUGGAAGACAAUUUAUAAAAAAAGUUGGGUUUUUUUAGUAAUUGUAUUUAAAUUUAUUUCAGUGUUUUAUUGUUUUAUGUUGUUUUUGUCUAACUUAAAUGUGAGAAAAAAAGCAGAGUUCUGGAUAGAAGGCAGAUAACCUUUGUUCUCAUCCAACCUGAAGCACUUAUUUGCUAAAUAAUUCCAGUCAAAAACAGAAGAAACGUGGUAUUUUAGUUUUAUCUUGAGGAAAGGUCCUGCUUCUCUUACUCUAUCUAAAAGCCUAGAAAUAAAAUGAUAAUUAUUCUAUGACUCAUAUACUUGCUUUUUAUGUUAUUGGCUUAUUAUGAGACUCAAAUCAGGUAAGGUAUAUAAAACUGCUUUGAGAAUGGUAAGAAGCUGUACAAAUAAAAGUUCUAAGAUAUGGCUUAUAAAUUCUUUUCAACCCUCCGUUUUUCCUUUCACUCCUACAAAAGUUUGCUUUUGAAAUGAUUAAAAUUUUUAAAAAAUUAAAAUAUUUUAUUCUAAGCCUGGCUAUACUGUUUUAAUUUGUAGGAUUUUAAUCGUUUACCAUUGUAUUUGUAGCAGCUAGACUGAUAGGAGAUUUGUGUUGUUGAGUCCAUCCCCUUUCAGGUAUCUCAUCUAGGAAUGCAGAAGCAGAAAGGUAGGGCAGACUGGCUGGAUCCACUAGAAUGGAUUUCCUACUGAAUCAAUACUUGUCUCAAAACCAUAUUAAAGCGAGGAACAGUGGCAUGCACCUAUAAUCCCAGCUACUUGGGAGGCUGAGGUGGGAGGAUGGCUGCAUCCCAGGAAUUAAGGCCAGCCUGAGUAACAUAGCAAGACCCUGUCUUGUAAAACAAACAAAACCAAAGCAUUAAAACCAAAGUACUUUUAGUUUUCACUGAAACCUACAUGAUGUUCUUAUUUCUAUAUAAUGUUUUGUAUAUUAAUAUACAUUAGAAAAAUACACA